ACGGGUGAGUAACACGUGGGUAACCUACCCCUCAGUGGGGGAUAACCGGGGGAAACUCCGGCUAAUACCCCAUAUUAUCCGGUGACGACAGUUGCUGGAUGAAAGGAGUGUUUGCUUCGCUGAGGGAUGGGCCCGCGGCCCAUCAGGUAGUUGGUGAGGUAAUGGCUCACCAAGCCUACGACGGGUAGCCGACCUGAGAGGGUGACCGGCCACAAGGGCACUGAGACACGGGCCCUACUCCUACGGGAGGCAGCAGUGGGGAAUUUUGGACAAUGGGCGAAAGCCUGAUCCAGCGACGCCGCGUGAGGGACGAAGCCCUUCGGGGUGUAAACCUCUGUUGUGAGGGACGAAUAAGAUCUGGAGGAAAUGCCAGAUCGAUGACGGUACCUCACGAGAAAGCCCCGGCUAACUACGUGCCAGCAGCCGCGGUAAUACGUAGGGGGCGAGCGUUACCCGGAUUCACUGGGCGUAAAGGGGGCGCAGGCGAUCCAGUAUGUCGGGUGUGAAAUCCCACAGCUCAACUGUGGAAUUGCGCCCGAAACUACUGGGUUUGGGGCUGGUAGAGGGAGACGGAACUGCUGGUGUAGGGGUGAAAUCCGUAGAUAUCAGCAGGAACGCCGGUGGGGAAGCCGGUCUCCUGGGCCAAGCCCGACGCUGAGGCCCGAAAGCUAGGGGAGCAAACCGGAUUAGAUACCCGGGUAGUCCUAGCCGUAAACGAUGCCCACUAGGUGUGGGGGAGUCAUUCCUCCGUGCUGUAGCUAACGCGUUAAGUGGGCCGCCUGGGGAGUACGCCCGCAAGGGUGAAACUCAAAGGAAUUGGCGGGACCCCGCACAAGCGGUGGAGCGUGUGGUUUAAUUGGAUGCUAAGCCAAGAACCUUACCAGGGCUUGACAUGCAGGUGGUACCAACCCGAAAGGGAAGGGACCCUUUCCUUUUGGAAAGGGAGCCUGCACAGGUGGUGCACGGCCGUCGUCAGCUCGUGCCGUGAGGUGUUGGGUUAAGUCCCGCAACGAGCGCAACCCCUGCCCUUAGUUGCCAGCGGUUCGGCCGGGCACUCUAAGGGGACCGCCGGCGACGAGCCGGAGGAAGGAGGGGACGACGUCAGGUACUCGUGCCCUUUAUGCCCUGGGCUACACACGCGCUACAAUGGGUGGUACAGUGGGUCGCGACCUCGCGAGAGGGAGCCAAUCCCCAAAACCAUCCUCAGUUCAGAUCGCAGGCUGCAACCCGC
rnacentral:rRNA from 1 species